UGACAGUACUCCUACGGGGAGGCAGCAGUGAGGAAUAUUGGUCAAUGGACGCAAGUCUGAAACCAGCCAUGUCGCGUGCAGGAAGACUGCCCUAUGGGUUGUAAACUGCUUUUAUAUGGGAAGAAAUAUAGUUACGUGUAAUUAUUUGCCGGUACCAUAUGAAUAAGCAUCGGCUAACUCCGUGCCAGCAGCCGCGGUAAUACGGAGGAUGCGAGCGUUAUCCGGAUUCAUUGGGUUUAAAGGGUGCGUAGGCGGAAUAUUAAGUCAGGGGUGAAAGUUUGUGGCUCAACCAUAAAAUUGCCUUUGAUACUGGUAUUCUUGAGUACAUUUGAGGUAGGCGGAAUGUGUUGUGUAGCGGUGAAAUGCUUAGAUAUAACACAGAACACCGAUUGCGAAGGCAGCUUACUAAACUGUCACUGACGCUGAUGCACGAAAGCGUGGGGAUCGAACAGGAUUAGAUACCCUGGUAG
rnacentral:rRNA from 1 species